rnacentral:rRNA from 1 species
UGGGGGAAUAUUGCACAAUGGGCGAAAGCCUGAUGCAGCAACGCCGCGUGAGUGAUGAAGGUCUUCGGAUUGUAAAGCUCUGUCUUUUGGGACGAUAAUGACGGUACCAAAGGAGGAAGCCACGGCUAACUACGUGCCAGCAGCCGCGGUAAUACGUAGGUGGCGAGCGUUGUCCGGAUUUACUGGGCGUAAAGGGUGCGUAGGCGGAUGUUUAAGUGAGAUGUGAAAUACCCGGGCUUAACUUGGGUGCUGCAUUUCAAACUGGAUAUCUAGAGUGCAGGAGAGGAGAAUGGAAUUCCUAGUGUAGCGGUGAAAUGCGUAGAGAUUAGGAAGAACACCAGUGGCGAAGGCGAUUCUCUGGACUGUAACUGACGCUGAGGCACGAAAGCGUGGGUAGCAAACAGGAUUAGAUACCCUGGUAGUCCACGC